GGGUUGUGAGGUUAAGCGACUAAGCGUACACGGUGGAUGCCCUGGCAGUCAGAGGCGAUGAAGGGCGUGCUAAUCUGCGAUAAGCGCCGGUAAGGUGAUAUGAACCGUUAUAACCGGCGAUACCCGAAUGGGGAAACCCAGUGUGAUUCGUCACACUAUCAUUAACUGAAUCCAUAGGU
rnacentral:rRNA from 2 species